CCAGCUGUGUGUCCUUAAAGAGUGACCCAGUGAAAGAUGUCAGUAAUAAACCUGAACAAAGACAGUCAUCUGAUAAUGACACUUGUCAGAGUGUUGAACCUGGAGCCAGUUGUGUAUCCAUAAAGAGCAGUGAUUCAAAGGAAGUGGGUGUUAAUUUCAAACAAAAACCUUCCUCUCAUGAAAAAGUGGACCAGAAGAGCUCAGAGGUUUCCCAG